AAAAAUAUUAUUAAUAGUUUUAGUUAAUAUAGAAUUAAUAAAAAUAAUUUUAAAUAUAAAUAUUUUAGUAUAUUUUAUAGAAAAAAUUUUUAUAAUUAUAGAGAAUUAGUAUUGUAAAAGAAAUAUAAAAUAAAUAAAUUAUUUUUUAAAAGUAAAAUUUAUUUUUUGUACCUUGUGUAUCAGGGUUAAUUAAAUAAAAAUUAUAAAAUUUAAUAUUCCCGAAUUUAAAAGAGAGAAUAAAUAAUUUUUUUUAUUGUAAAAAAAAUAUUUAAAAUUAUUUAUUAGUAAUGAAAAGUUAUUCGUUUUUAAAUAUAUCUGGUUUAUAUAGAAAUAAAUUGAAUUUAGUCUUUAAAAUUUUAUAAUUUAUUUUUUUAAAUAAAUAGAUUUUAUUGAUAAUAAUUAAAGGGAUAAGCUUUUAGUUAAAAUUUUAUAAUAUAGAAAAUAAAGAAAAUUAUAUAGGUUUAGAAAUAUCCAUUAUUAAUAAUUUGUUGUAAUUAUAUUUUUAGAUUUUAUUAUUUUAAAAAUAUUUAAAAUUUUUAUAUAUAAAUAAUAUUUAAUAUUUAAAUAUUAGAUUUAAUGAUUAAAUUAGUAUAUUUAUUUAUUUAAAUAAAAUUUUAUUAUAGAUUAUUAAAAGGAAUUCGGCAAAAUUUUUAUUCGCCUGUUUAAUAAAAACAUGUCCUUUAGUAAAUAUAAUUUAAGGUCUAACCUGCCCAUUGAUAAAGUUAAAAGGCCGCAGUAAUUUGACUGUGCAAAGGUAGCAUAAUCAUUAGUUUUUUAAUUAAAAGCUUGUAUGAAUGGUUGGACGAGAUAAAAUCUGUCUCUUAAUAAGAAAUAGAAUUUAAUUUUUAAGUUAAAAAGCUUAAAUAUAAAUAAAAGACGAGAAGACCCUAUAGAUCUUUAUAUAAUUUUUUUUAGUAUUAAUAAAGAAAAUUUUAUUUAUUAAUUUAGUUUAUAUUUUAUUGGGGUAAUAAAAAGAUUUAAUAAAUUCUUUUAAAUUAAACAAAGAUUAUUGAUUAUAUGAUCCAUUAUUAAUGAUUAAAAGAUUAAGUUACCUUAGGGAUAACAGCGUAAUUUUUUUAGAGAGUUCUUAUCAAUAAAAAAGUUUGCGACCUCGAUGUUGGAUUAAAAGUAAUCUUAGGUGCAGAAGUUUAGGAUUUUGGUCUGUUCGACCAUUAAAUUUUUACAUGAUCUGAGUUUAGACCGGCGUAAGCCAGGUUGGUUUCUAUCUUUAUUAAUUUAAUAUAUUUUAGUACGAAAGGACCAAAUAUAUAGUAUAUUUAUAUUUAUUUUUUUGAAUGAUAUUAUUACUUUGGCAGAUUAGUGUAAUGAAUUUAGAAUUCAAUAAUGUAAUAU
rnacentral:rRNA from 1 species